rnacentral:rRNA from 1 species
ACAGCUAGAGUUUGAUCCUGGCUCAGGGAUGAACGCUGGCGGCGUGCCUAACACAUGCAAGUCGAACGGGGUAUUUUGGGAAUGGUUCCUUCGGGGACAGGAAUCUUAACCUAGUGGCGGACGGGUGAGUAACGCGUGAGCAAUCUGCCUUUAGGAGGGGGAUAACAGUCGGAAACGGCUGCUAAUACCGCAUGAUACGUUUUGGAGGCAUCUCUGAGACGUCAAAGAUUUUAUCGCCUUUAGAUGAGCUCGCGUCUGAUUAGCUGGUUGGCGGGGUAACGGCCCACCAAGGCGACGAUCAGUAGCCGGACUGAGAGGUUGAACGGCCACAUUGGGACUGAGACACGGCCCAGACUCCUACGGGAGGCAGCAGUGGGGAAUAUUGCGCAAUGGGGGCAACCCUGACGCAGCAACGCCGCGUGAUUGAAGAAGGCCUUCGGGUUGUAAAGAUCUUUAAUCAGGGACGAAUUUUGACGGUACCUGAAGAAUAAGCUCCGGCUAACUACGUGCCAGCAGCCGCGGUAA